rnacentral:rRNA from 1 species
CCUACGGGUGGCAGCAGUAAGGAAUAUUGGUCAAUGGAGGAAACUCUGAACCAGCCAUCCCGCGUGAAGGAUGAAGGGGCUCUGCCUUGUAAACUUCUUUUGUCUGGGGCGAAAAAGCUCGAUUUAUCGAGAACUGACGGUACCAGAAGAAUAAGCACCGGCUAACUCCGUGCCAGCAGCCGCGGUAAUACGGAGGGUGCCAGAGUUAUUGGGAUUAACUGGGGCUAAGGGGUGCGUGGGCGGCUUAGGUGAAAGGCUGUGGCUUAACCAUGGAAUUGCCAUUGAUACUGCAGAGCUUGAAUGAGGUUGAGGUUGGCGGAAUGUGACAUGUAGCGGUGAAAUGCUUAGAUAUGUCAUGGAACACCGAUUGCGAAGGCAGCUGACUGGACCUAUAUUGACGCUGAGGCACGAAAGCGUGGGGAGCGAACAGGAUUAGAUACCCGAGUAGUC